UUUUUGCAACUAUCACCUAUAAAUAUAUAUUUAUUGUCCACUUAUUGCACACAUAUCACUUUUCUCUGAAAUUUAGUUCUCUCUCUCUCUCUCUCUCUCUCUCUCCAUCUAGCUAACUACCAUCUUCUCACGAAGAAGAAGAUCAAGAACAACCUACAUAAUCCACAGCUUUGCCCUCAAAACCCAGUUCUUCCUCUUCCUCUCUGUUUUCUUCUCUACCCAAAUGCAAACCCCAAUUUCGUCUCCCUUCAAAUCCAUUCGGGAACCUAAACAAACCCAAACAAAACCAUCUUUUCUGAAUAUGACAGCAUGUGUUGGUAUUCGGUGGCCAUUGUCUGAGCAUUUUGGUCCAAUUUUGGGGGGUUUUGAAGUCUGGGUUUACAUGCCCUCUUCAAGAACAGCAAUCGUAUUGUGAUUUUAUUGCGGUUGUAUUGUAGUCAUAUUGUUUUGUAUUGCUAUGGUAUUGUUGUAUUGAUUUUUUUUUUUUUGGUGUUUUAUUGAUAUGUUACUAUAAUUUAAUAGGAAUAUAUGUUGAUAUCAUUUUUCUUUAUUUGCUUGUGAUUUGAGUAGGAGUUGAGAUUAUUCUUGGCUGAAGUAUUAUUUACGAUCUCUCUCUUUCUCUCUCUCUCUGCUCUUUGUAUUUUUCUCAACAUUUAUGUGUUAAUUUAAUGUCUGGCAUUAUUUUGGAACCAUAAUCAUUGUCAAUCUCAUUGUUUCUUUGAAAGAUUGCUGUGAAAUUGUGAAAGGACCCGCCCCGAAUUUUUCAGAACCCGAGGCGAACCCUUUGGAAUUCCCGACAUCCUCCCUAUGCCAGGCCCAAAUACUAAAAACCGAGACUUCCUGCCGAAAAUUCGGCAGAGUCUCCCCUAUAAAUUGGACAUUUCCCAAAAUUUAUACCUGCAUGAAAACGCAUUUAAUAUUCCCAACUGGCAGCAUGCACAAUAUAAUUUCAUGCAAUUCACACAAAUGGCCUUCGGCCUUCCAAUAAUUCUUAACAGGCUACCAAACAAAUCAAAUAUAAUUUAUGACUAAUAUUUAGUCUGCGGCUGCACUUAAUAACCUUAGGCUGCCUACGUACCCUCCUUGAGGGAUCAAGCCACACGUAGUUCUUCCUUAUAAAACAAAUUCCACAUUUGGGCGAUACCUUAUUUCAUUUCUCUGUAUUUCAAAUAAUCUCUCCAUACGCCGGUACAACCAACGCCACGUAUGGGGCCUGUCAACACGCCGGAUAACCUACGCCACGUGCGACCAUGCCAUCAUAUCACAUAUCUCCCCAUACGUCGGUACAACCAACGCCACGUAUGGGGCCUGUCCCAACGCCGGAUAACCUACGCCACGC
rnacentral:lncRNA from 1 species